rnacentral:rRNA from 1 species
ACGCUCGACACCUACGGGGAGGCAGCAGUGGGGAAUAUUGCACAAUGGGGGAAACCCUGAUGCAGCGACGCCGCGUGAAGGAAGAAGUAUUUCGGUAUGUAAACUUCUAUCAGCAGGGAAGAAGAUGACGGUACCUGAGUAAGAAGCACCGGCUAAAUACGUGCCCGCAGCCGCGGUAAUCUGAGCGGGCUGGCAAGGC